rnacentral:rRNA from 1 species
UAGUCCACGCCGUAAACGAUGGAUACUAGCUGUUCGUUGCGCAUUGGCGUGAUGAGUGGCCCAGCGAAAGUGAUAAGUAUCCCACCUGGGGAGUACGUUCGCAAGAAUGAAACUCAAAGGAAUUGACGGGGGCCCGCACAAGCGGUGGAGCAUGUGGUUUAAUUCGAUGAUACGCGAGGAACCUUACCAAGGCUUAAAUGCAAAUUGACAGGUUUGGAAACAGACCCUUCUUCGGACAAUUUGCAAGGUGCUGCAUGGUUGUCGUCAGCUCGUGCCGUGAGGUGUCAGGUUAGGUCCUAUAACGAGCGCAACCCCUGUUGUUAGUUACCAGCAUGUAAAGAUGGGGACUCUAACAAGACUGCCGGUGCAAACCGUGAGGAAGGUGGGGAUGACGUCAAAUCAUCACGGCCCUUACGUCUUGGGCUACACACGUGCUACAAUGGCAGGUACAAUGAGUGGCCACCCCGCAACGGGGGAGCGAAAUCUAAAAACCUGUCACAGUUCGGAUCGC